rnacentral:tRNA from 1 species
GCCUCCAUAGCUCAGUGGUCAGAGCACCAGUCUCGUAACGCUCGCGCAGUCAACUGGGGGUCGAGAGUUCGAUUCUCUCUGGAGGCA